UUACCAGGCUUGACAUCCCUUGAAGCAGCUAGAGAUAGCUGUGUCCUUCGGGACAAGGAGGACAGGUGGUGCAUGGUUGUCGUCAGCUCGUGUCGUGAGAUGUUGGGUUAAGUCCCGCAACGAGCGCAACCCCUGUGGUUAGUUGCCAGCAAGUAGCGUUGGGCACUCUAGCCAGACUGCCGGUGAUAAAUCGGAGGAAGGUGGGACGACGUCAAAUCAUCAUGCCCUUUAUGUCCUGGGCUACACACGUGCUACAAUGGCCGGUACAGACGGACGCAAAGCCGCGAGGUGGAGCAAAUCCUAAAAAGCCGGUCUCAGUUCGGAUUGCAGGCUGCAAUUCGCCUGCAUGAAGUCGGAAUCGCUAGUAAUCGCAGGUCAGCAUACUGCGGUGAAUACGUUCCCGGGCCUU
rnacentral:rRNA from 1 species